rnacentral:rRNA from 1 species
AGAGUUUGAUCCUGGCUCAGGAUGAACGCUAGCGGCAGGCCUAAUACAUGCAAGUCGAGCGGCAAGUUGGGUAGUAAUACUUGACCUAGAGCGGCGCACGGGUGCGUAACGCGUAUGCAACCUACCUUUUACUGGGGGAUAGCCCGGAGAAAUCUGGAUUAAUACCCCAUAGUACCUAAGGAUCGAUUGGUUUUUAGUUUAAAGAUUUAUCGGUAAAAGAUGGGCAUGCGUCUGAUUAGCUAGUUGGCGGGGUAACGGCCCACCAAGGCGACGAUCAGUAGGGGUUCUGAGAGGAAGGUCCCCCACACUGGCACUGAGAUACGGGCCAGACUCCUACGGGAGGCAGCAGUAGGGAAUAUUGGGCAAUGGUCGCAAGACUGACCCAGCCAUGCCGCGUGCAGGAAGACGGCCCUCUGGGUUGUAAACUGCUUUUAUCUGGGAAGAAAAAGUCCAUGCGUGGAAAAUUGCCGGUACCAGAUGAAUAAGCACCGGCUAACUCCGUGCCAGCAGCCGCGGUAAUACGGAGGGUGCAAGCGUUAUCCGGAAUCACUGGGUUUAAAGGGUGCGUAGGCGGUUUGAUAAGUCAGAGGUGAAAGCUAGCAGCUUAACUGUUAAAUUGCCUUUGAUACUGUCAGACUUGAAUCAAGUUGAGGUAGGCGGAAUGUGACAUGUAGCGGUGAAAUGCUUAGAUAUGACAUAGAACACCAAUUGCGUAGGCAGCUUGCUGGGCUUGAAUUGACGCUGAGGCACGAAAGCGUGGGGAUCAAACAGGAUUAGAUACCCUGGUAGUCCACGCCCUAAACGAUGUUAACUCGAUAUUUAUUCUUCGGAGUGAGUGUCCAAGCGAAAGCGUUAAGUUAACCACCUGGGGAGUACGUUCGCAAGAAUGAAACUCAAAGGAAUUGACGGGGGUCCGCACAA